UACGGAGGAUGCAAGCGUUAUCCGGAAUUAUUGGGCGUAAAGCGUCCGUAGGUGGCUGGUCAAGUCUGCUGUCAAAGCGUGGAGCUCAACUCCAUAUCGGCGGUGGAAACUGACGAGCUAGAGUGCGAUAGGGGUAGCAGGAAUUCCCAGUGUAGCGGUGAAAUGCGUAGAGAUUGGGAAGAACACCAGCGGCGAAAGCGUGCUACUGGGUCUGCACUGACACUGAGGGACGAAAGCUAGGGGAGCGAAAGGG
rnacentral:rRNA from 1 species